rnacentral:rRNA from 1 species
UACGGAGGGUGCGAGCGUUGUCCGGAAUCACUGGGCGUAAAGGGCGCGUAGGCGGCCUGGCAAGUCGAUGGUGAAAGCCCGAGGCUCAACUUCGGGUCGGCCACUGAUACUGCUGGGCUUGAGUCGACUAGAGGCAGAUGGAAUUCCGGGUGUAGCGGUGGAAUGCGUAGAGAUCCGGAAGAACACCGGUGGCGAAGGCGGUCUGCUGGGGUCGAACUGACGCUGAGGCGCGACAGCGUGGGGAGCGAACGGG